rnacentral:lncRNA from 1 species
GCCUUAACAAAAAUAAUUUAUUCCACACACCUCCCAAGGCAGGGGGUAGCGUGGGAAUCAAGCAUGUGUAAGGCACUGCCCCCGCCAGACCCUUCUAACUUCUGCACACUGGAAGGUGAAACCUGGAGAGAGAAGACACUCCCCUCCCUAGCUUCUACCUGGCACCCUCCAAAGAUGAGCAUUCAUCUUGGAGACCAAAAUAAAAAAGGACAAAAGACCAGGCUCAGAGGGAGCAGAGCUCAAUGGGGGGAAGUGAAAGCAGCCAUCUUCUCCUGCAGCUAAGCCAGGGCAAGGCACUAGAGACCCACAUCCUUCCCAUGCCACCAACUCGUCAGGUCCCACCAAGCAAGCCACUCACCCUACAGCCCAGCAACCAUGGCUUGCCUCACCUGGGAGACCAGCACGACUUCCAGAAGCUUCCAAACCCCACCCUGAAGCCAAACCCCACCCAGGAGGUCUGAGGAGCUGGAGGCUGGCCAGGCAUAGAGGGCCCGGGGUGGUCCUUCCUCCCAGGGUGCAAAGGCUUCUUCAUUGUCCGGAAGGGAGCAGGGUGGGCGGAGCCCCAGCAGCUAGUGAGGAGUUCCAUUCCAGCCCACCCAGCUGGGGGACCCUCCUCUGGCUUCACUUGCCCCAGUUGAGGGCCAAGACCAAGCAGGAGAGACUGAGGCUCCAGUGAGAAUGAGGGUGGAGAAGAGGGCCAGGGCUGUGGUGGGGACGUAAUGAGGGUGCAGGCGACACUGGGUGCGGGGGGCUGAGGCCUUUGAGGUCUCUGAGCUGCGGAACAGGGUUAGCGUUUCAGGCCCAGGCUCCUGACGGUGGAGGCGCUGGCCCCGCAGACAGCAGACUGCAGCUUCUCCUGAGGGGGCUCUUCAGAAAGAACAUGUUGGCCACUGUGAAAGGCGGGCAGCCCCUCUGGGCAAGAAGGAAGGAUGAGCACAGGGAGGGACGAGAGGGGACGCCAGGAGACAGGAUACUCACACGGGGACUCGGGAGACAGAGCCAUUCCGGAACAGCAGGUAGCAAGAGGGGAAGUCGGUGACACCAAACUUUCUCACCACAUUGGCCUCUGUGUUCAGCACCCUGCGCACCGCCACGCCUUUGUGCUGGGACAGGUCCAGAGCCACCUGCAGGGACAGCAGAACAUCUGGGGGCCAGGCCACCGGGUGGAGGGAGCCAGGGCUGGGUCCCAGCUCGGUGACCUGUGAAGGCACCCAGAUGGCAGCUGUGCUCCUUCCAGACUCUAAACCCACAAAGAGUGGACCACACUGAUGCGCAAGAGAUACUCGCCAUCAACAGCAGCUAACCAGUAGGUAGCAAGUGCCAAUCACUGCCCAGGAGGAGAGGCCUUGGAGCUGUGCAUGCCACACACGCUUUAAUUUCUUACGACAGUCCCAACUGGGUAGCAUUUUCUUUCUAAUGAAAGCAAUUUGUAAAGAGCACAAUAAAAUGUGGUUUCAUUUUAAUUCUCGUUUGUUUUUUGCACUGAGCCAGCACGUUCUUGUCUUUAAGACCUUCACACCCCAAGACUGCUCUCUGAUGUCCAGGAUUCCCCAGGGCCUUCUCAUAACAUUUUUCUAAAGGGAAAAGAUCCCUUUAGAAAUUACUAAUUAUUGUUUGUUUGAAAUAUCAAUUGUUGGGGGCAAGAGCAGUCUUCCUUAUGGAAGCUUGAGUCACAGAUGUUUAAAGAACUGUGAUUUUAUUGCGUUCAAAUACAUAUGGUAACAAAUUUCAUGGGUAGGAUACAAACAAAAUAAACCUUUGGAAUUGGGUAAACUUCUAAACAGCAGGCUAACUCUGAGCCCAGUAUGUGCAGUAGUCAGAGGGGCCCUUUGGUCAAUGUGUAUAGUUAUAAGAAGAUCUGAAAACGUUUCUUAACGUGGGGCUCUCUGAAGGCAACAAGAGGCCUUGUUGAGAUGACAAUGUCCCCACAUUAGAAAUGGGAAGAGAAGUUCUGAGCAUAAUCGGACAGGCCAUCUGCAAAUGGCAGGCACGGACUUCUGUUACUGACGUCUCACUCUUCACCAUGGAGCAGGUGGCGCCCCCUAGCCUUUUUUCUUAUAUUUAUAAAGCUUCCUAUCUAGACUCCGAAUCAGAAAAAUAUACAUCAGUCAUCAUUAUUUUUUUUAGAAAGAAAUAAAGAGAAAGCACUAGCUAACCUGUAUUGCAUAGGUAUUAUGUAGUGUCCACACAGAUUGCCUCAUUUAUCUUCAGAGAAACACUGAAAUAGCAGCUAUUCUCAGGAGACUAAGAGAUGCGGCACCGUACACUACAGUUGCCUGCAUUGGAAUCCUGGCCCCACUGCACCAAACCUUUCCCUGACCAAAUUUCCUUACUUGCAAAAUA